GACGAACGCUGGCGGCGUGCUUAACACAUGCAAGUCGAACGGAAAGGCCCUGCUUUUGUGGGGUGCUCGAGUGGCGAACGGGUGAGUAACACGUGAGUAACCUGCCCUUGACGUUGGGAUAACUUCAGGAAACUGGGGCUAAUACCGGAUAGGAGCUCCUGCUGCAUGGUGGGGGGUGGAAAGUUUCGGCGGGUUGGGAUGGACUCGCGGCUUAUCAGCUUGUUGGUGGGGUAGUGGCUUACCAAGGCUUUGACGGGUAGCCGGCCUGAGAGGGUGACCGGCCCCAUUGGGACUGAGAUACGGCCCAGCCUCCUCCGGGAGGCAGCAGUGGGGAAUAUUGCACAAUGGGCGGAAGCCUGAUGCAGCAACGCCGCGUGCGGGAUGACGGCCUUCGGGUUGUAAACCGCUUUCGCCUGUGACGAAGCGUGAGUGACGGUAAUGGGUAAAGAAGCACCGGCUAACUACGUG
rnacentral:rRNA from 1 species